rnacentral:rRNA from 1 species
UGGGAUUCGACUAUACCAUGCGANNNGAGAGGGUUCGGCCCUCGGCUGACGGCUCAGUAACACGUGGAUAAUCUGCCCUUAGGUGGAGGAUACCCUCGGGAAACUGAGAAUAAUACUCCAUAGGUCUAGGAUGCUGGAAUGCACCUAGGCUGAAAACUCCGGUGCCUAAGGAUGAGUCUGCGGACUAUCAGGUUGUAGUCAGGGUAAUGACCUGACUAGCCUACGACGGAUACGGGUUGUGAGAGCAAUAACCCGGAGAUGAUAUCUGAGACACGAUAUCAGGCCCUACGGGGCGCAGCAGGCGCGAAAACUUCACAAUGUGCGAAAGCACGAUGAGGGAAUCCCAAGUGCUUGCUCGUAAGAGUAAGCUGUUUCUAUGUUUAAAACGCAUAGAGAGUAAGGGCUGGGUAAGACGGGUGCCAGCCGCCGCGGUAAUACCUGCAGCUCAAGUGGUGGCCGCUAUUAUUGGGCCUAAAACGUCCGUAGCCGGUUUGAUAAAUGCCUGGGUAAAUCGUGUAGCUUAACUAUACGAAUUCCGGGUAGACUGUUAAACUUGAGACCGGGAGAAGUUAGAGGUACUCCUGGGGUAGAGGUGAAAUUCUGUAAUCCUAGGGGGACCACCAGUGGCGAAGGCGUCUGACUAGAACGGGUCUGACGGUGAGGGACGAAGCCCUGGGGCGCAAACCGGAUUAGAUACCCGGGUAGUCCAGGGUGUAAACGCUGCUUGCUUGAUGUUAGUUGGGCUCCGAGCCCAAUUAGUGUCGGAGAGAAGUUGUUAAGCAAGCUGCCUGGGAAGUACGGUCGCAAGACUGAAACUU